GUGCUGCUGAUGGAGGUGGCUGUGCUGGUCUUGUGUGUGGUCACAGGUGUCCCAGUGUGUGGCACAGCUGACUCUUCAUGGGUGAAGGCUGCCAGGAGGAAAGCACAGGUCAGUUGUAGAUGAGGGCAGAAGGGGAAAGCAAAGAAGAUUGGUCAAACCCCCAGACUGGAGUUGUAAGGAUAACGAGAAUUCCUGUACUCCAGUGAGUUUUCCCAUGUUUGGGGCUGGAAUAGGAAAGUGUCCUGUCCACAAUCUGCUGCUCAUUUCCCAUUUAAUUGGGAAGAAAUGGCCUUCCUAGCAGAAAAAAUCUCUCUUCCACUUUCUGAAACAUGGCUUUUUCUGAAUAUUCAUGUCCUUUCAAGGAACAGUAAGUGUCUAUAGACUGCCCCUCCAGGACUUGCAUAUCCACCUACAUGGGACUGACCAUUUCCCUGGGUCAUAUUGAAGGAUGGCCACACCACGGUACUAAUGUAAAAAAAAUGGGAAUGGAGAGCAAAAACUGAAAAAACCUGCUCUGCUAGAAAUGAAGAAAGGAAAAGGCACACAAGGAGAACUAGCGGGAUGCACAGGAGAGAGCCUUACCAGGCUGUGAGGAGCUGAGCCAUGUUGAGGACACAGUUGAGGAGGGAGAAGAAGCAGGUUGUGGCAGAGUGCUGGUUUUGGCUGUGGUGACUGUAGAGGACUCUGUUACAGGAGACUCCUUUGCAGCUUGGGUUGCUGGGGAAGAGGGCCUGGGCCUCAGGGUUGUAGGUGUAGGCCUGGGGCUGGUGCUGGCAGCUGCUGUGGAGGAGCCAGUGGAAGUGGUGGCAGUGGAUGGCAGCCUUGUGCUGAGCGGGCUGCUGGGGGCAGGUGGAGAGCUGGCAUGGGCAGAGGUUGUUUCCAGAGGGGCUCCUGUGCUGCUUGCUGGGCUGGGCCCUGUGGAGACAGAGGUUGUUUCCAGAGGGGCUCCUGUGCUGCUUGCUGGGCUGGGCCCUGUGGAGACAGAGGUCUUGGAGGUGCUGCUGAUGGAGGUGGCUGUGCUGGUCUUGUGUGUGGUCACAGGUGUCCUAAUGUGUGGUACAGUUGACUGUUCACGGGUGUAAGCUGCGAGGAGGAAAUCACAGGUUAGUUGCAUUUUGCUGGCUUAUGGGAUGUUGGGUAAUAUUGUGUUUUGGAGCUUUUUUGCUUAGUUAUGGGCCAGGAUGGGAGGCCUUGUUCCCACUAAAUCUGUUUUUUUUGGGUUUUUGGGGUUAUUUUCAGUUAUUUAUGUGUCCAUUACCCUAAAUCCAUCCUGUCCAGUUUCUUUUUCAUAAGUGCUUGCUCUUGACAAUUCUGAAGAGUGACCUCUAAAAAUUUAUCUCAUCUCCUUCUUCCUGGAACAGUUGAGUAGGGAAGAGGUAUCACUUGUUUGAUGGUUUGAAAUUGUCUUGCUGCAGACUCCUCUGGGUGGGCUGUGGCUACUAAAGGGAUAUGGAUGCAUUGGCCAGGGAUGACUCUUAUUUCUUUCAUGACCAGAGCACUCACCUGUUACUACUUUAGUAGUUGGUGUCUUAGCUCUGGUUGGCUCCCUUGCUACAAAGAAAGGGAUGAGAGAAAAGAAUGAUUGAGUCCUGGGGAAGGAUUCUAGGCAAAGCAUGUUGUGGCAUCUUCCCAAAGGAGGAGCAACACUAAGACAACUCUGGCAUGUGGGUCUAACAGAAAGAACUUUAGCCUGGAGUUGAGGGUACACUUUCUUGCCCACCCUCCACUGGUGACUCUUGUACUCGGGGUCAGGAUUGGUCCAUGAGGUCAUAUUUGUUGAACUGCACUUUUCAUGGGUGUGCCAGGGCCUAGGCAUCCUUUGGCUGGAGAUGAUGCCUUGGGUUAUGCCUCUCACUCACUGAGAGGCUGUAAACUGAGAUGUGUUUCCAGUUUCCCUGUUUUUUGUUCAUUCCUGCCCCACUGUGCAUUCCCAGGGCAGCACAGUAAGAAGAGGGAGGUGUUUUAGCUUGUGUCUGAUUGGUAGCUGUAGGGCAGGAACUCAUGGAUGCCUGAACCUUCACAGAGGCCUGUGCCCCAGAGCCAAAGCCCUGAAGUUGCAGGGAGGAGGAUACAGUCAGGGUCAUGUGUGGGUCAGGCCCAGGAGCUGCCAGUGUCCCAUGGAAAGAGCAGGGGCAAUUGAGAAUGAGUACCAAAACAGAGGCCUUUGUGGGAUGGGCUGCUUAGGAGAGAAGGGUGGGAGCUAGAAGCAGCAGGCAGAGCAGCAGGAAGGGCAGGAGGGAGCCUUACCAGGAUAUGAUGUUCCCAGCUGGGUUGAGGAGAGGGAAGAAGCAGACGAGGCUGAGGUGACAAGCGAAGAGCUGGAGCUUGGAAAUGUCCUUGUCAGUGGAACUUGUGGCCUGGUGGCAGGGCUGGUCUCUCUCAGGACAGAGGUGCUGCUGAUGGAUGUGGCAGGGGUGGUCUGUGUCUGUGUGACAAGGUGCUGCACAGGCGGUGUCAACGUUGUUCUUAUGUGGGUGACAACUACAGAGAGAAAAGCACAAGUUGAUAGAGGACGAGUCUGAAGGGUGCCUCUGAAAUUCUGUGCUCCCUGCCUUUUCUGAAGCUCCUGAGGAAAGAAGAGCCUCACUGGAUGCACGUUUCCCCUCCCAGGUAUUCCAAACUGGGGAGGACCAUCAUCUGAAAAGCUGGGAUAAGUGAAGCAGAGUCUUAGGCCAAGGGCAUCUCUCUAGUCCCUUUUACUCACCUUCUGGGUAGUGCAGAGUGGUUGCUUCGGUUCCCUCACUCUCUGUGAGGAAAGAAUGAAUAUUAGUAAUGGUUGGGAGCUGGUAAGGUUCUAGAGGAAGCUGUAGCUGCUUGCACAAGGAGACCUAGAUAUAUGCACCCCAACAGUAGUUUGUGGGAGAGACCCGGAUUUGGGAAAGAGUGUACAGCUGCCUUCCCACCACAACUGUCCCAGCCUGUCAGUUGCUAAUGUAGUAAUACAUGUUGCCAUACAGCCUCAGAGGAGACUGUUCUUGGGGAGCAUUUCUUACAAAGUGUAGGGGAAUAUAUAUUCUGUGGUCUGUGAAUUUUCAAGAACUUGCUUUGAAGUGUAGAGAGAUUUAGUCUAAAUUUGGAGGAAGUGUUGGAAGAGAAAUGUUAGCUUAACAUCAUAUUUGGAUGUCAGAUGCUUGCUCUGUUGGCAAGACAAAUUUCCAUUUUACUCACACUUCUUAUCCAUGUCCUUUCCUUUCUAUUUGCAAUGUUAAGACCACUAGUAAGAAUGCUUGGGGUUUUUUUUAUAAAGAGUAUAUUGACAUAUGUCUUAUGAGCAAUGGCUUCACUUGACAGAUAUAAGAAAGUGCUAUUUACCUGCUGUUGUUAGUUUAGGCUGGCUGAAAGUUGUGCUCCGAGUUUUGGUUUGAGUAGGUAUUGAGGAGGUUGCCAUCUCCCUUUUGGUGGUGGUCUUGAAGGGUGGUGAGGUGAUCCCUGCUUGCUCGGUCUCUGUUGAAGCAGUGGUUGAUGAGGCAAAAGGUGAUGAGGGAACAGACUUUGGUGUAGUAGCCAAGGUUCUUUUCAUUGAGGUAGUUAUGGAAGGGGUAGUGAUGGUUGUAGUCAUGUUUGGUGUGGUAAAAAUUGAUGUUGUAUGUUCUUUUGGAGGAAAGAUAAAAAUAUAAUGUGAGUAACCAAUUCAUAGAAAAAUUUAAACCAGAUAAAUUAUAAAGAAGUUAUUAAUAUUUUAGAGGUAAUUUUUUAUUUUUCAAAUAUUUUCAGUAUGACUGUUGUAUUCAUGUUCUCAAGCUUACCAAAUAUUUCUGUACUUAUUUGUUUUCUGUUGUCUCAUGUCUGUCUUUGUUCUCAUUUUCUAUAUUAAACAAAUCUAAUACAGGAAAAUACAUUUUUUGUAAAUAGUUAGCUCUUUUGUCUCUUUGGCUAAAGUCUGAAUGGGCUUUGUCUAUUGGCUUUUAUUAUGUUCCAAAUCCAAAGCCAUACCUGCAGCUUUCUGCAAUUUGUAUUGAAAAGCUAAAUAACAUCAUACUAUAGACUCUCCUUGCCUCAGUGCACAAAUCAUCUCUCACAGUGUCAGCUUUUGUGUGUUUUGACUCCUUUGGGCCCUAUUUUUACCUCUGCUUUCCCUGAGCCGUGGCCCAAGAUGGUUUACUAGCUGAAGUGCAUGUUGUUAUGAGGCUAAAUGAGGCUCCACAAGCCACAGAAUAAGAAAGUAAUCUAUGCUGGCAGAGUCAUCCUCCAGAAAAUAGGACUUUAGAAACCUAGACAUAGCUGCUACACUGAUACCUGUAUGGCUCUGCUUUGCAGCUUGCUUACAUUAUUCAGAGUCAACAGAUUGGGUGCUCCUUGAACUCCAUAAAUUAAUCAGUGGAAAAGAGGCUGAAGCUGAGCUAAUAAACCAAACUGGAGCUGGGCUUGCUCACUGCUUAUAGAACUUCUAACUGUGUUUCUCAGAUGAGUCACUUUUUGCUUGCAUUUUUAACCUAAUGCCUAUAUCCUUUAGCUUUUCAUGCACUUUCAAUCUACACUUCUGAACAUUUCUGGUUAAUAAACUCCUUUCUGGAAGCCUGCUUUGCCCGCUUCAUGAUUUGGAGUCUAAUGCUUGGAUGUUGUAUGAAAUUGAAAUACAUUCCUAGGAAUGGUAUCUCAAUCAUGUACGGAGGUACAGAGCAAGUUUACCACAAUUUAUUUUAGACAAUAACGCUAAAAACCUACCAGUUGUUGACUUGAUUGUGACAAGAGGUUGUGAGGGUGAAGUUCUUGGAAUUGUAAUUUUUGCAGUUAUUGUUGGAUUUGUAGUCUCAGUAGUCCCAACGGAUACAGCUGUUGCAGAAGAAGUACUAGGUUCUGUUGGUAGUGUGCUUGUGGUAGAGCUCUUUGUUACUUUAGGCUGCACUGUUGUUACUAAGAGAAAAAAACCCGAAAAGAUAAGAAAUAGUCCUCAAUAAUCUAAUAAUAUCUAUAUAAAUGGAAUUU
ensembl:lncRNA